rnacentral:rRNA from 1 species
GACGAACGCUGGCGGCGUGCUUAACACAUGCAAGUCGAACGGAAAGGCCCUGCUUUUGUGGGGUGCUCGAGUGGCGAACGGGUGAGUAACACGUGAGUAACCUGCCCUUGACUUUGGGAUAACUUCAGGAAACUGGGGCUAAUACCGGAUAGGAGCUCCUGCUGCAUGGUGGGGGUUGGAAAGUUUCGGCGGUUGGGGAUGGACUCGCGGCUUAUCAGCUUGUUGGUGGGGUAGUGGCUUACCAAGGCUUUGACGGGUAGCCGGCCUGAGAGGGUGACCGGCCACAUUGGGACUGAGAUACGGCCCAGACUCCUACGGGAGGCAGCAGUGGGGAAUAUGGCACAAUGGGCGGAAGCCUGAUGCAGCAACGCCGCGUGCGGGAGGACGGCCUUCGGGUUGUAAACCGCUUUCGCCUGUGACGAAGCGUGAGUGACGGUAAUGGGUAAAGAAGCACCGGCUAACUACGU